GCAAGUCGAACGGCAGCACGAAGAGCUUGCUCUUUGGUGGCGAGUGGCGGACGGGUGAGCAAUACUUAGGAAUCUAUCCAGUAGUUGGGGAUAACGUGGGGAAACUCACGCUAAUACCGAAUACGCACUAUGGUGGAAAGAGGGGGCUCUUCGGACCUCUCGCUAUCGGGUGAGCCUAAGCCGGAUUAGCUAGUUGGUGGGGUAAAGGCCUACCAUGGCGACGAUCUAUAGCUGGUCUGAGAGGAUGAUC
rnacentral:rRNA from 1 species